UACAGAGGGUGCAAGCGUUAAUCGGAAUUACUGGGCGUAAAGCGCGCGUAGGUGGUUCGUUAAGUUGGAUGUGAAAUCUUCGGGCUCAACUCGAAGUCUGCACGAGAAACUAUCUGGCUUGAGUGUGGGAGAGGUGAGUGGAAUUCCUGGUGUAGCGGUGAAAUGCGUAGAUAUCAGGAGGAACACCUGUGGCGAAAGCGGCUCACUGGACCACAACUGACGCUGAGGCGCGAAAGCUAGGGGAGCGAACGGG
rnacentral:rRNA from 1 species